AGGAAACCAGAGAGGUUAAGCAGUUUGCGCUGACACCACAGCUAGUAAGUGACAUUGCUGGAAUUCAGGCCUGGGUCUAUGUGACUCUAGAGCUUGUGAGUCUGUCCUGCCUCUAAUACAUGUAUUUGUGUAGCUUACCUUCAAAGGGAGGAUGUGAAGAUAAAUGAGAUAAUGGAUGGGAAUGUACUUUAAAUUUCACAUAGUUUGUAUUUUUCAAAGUAUUUAAAAUGAUGUGGUAUACUAAUGAGAAAUUUUAAUUUUCAAAGCUUCACUUAAAGGACAAGAAGCGAUUUGAAAAAGCUAACCAGGAUUCAGGUCCCGGUUUGAGUCUUGAAGAAUUUAUUGCUUUUGAGCAUCCUGAAGAAGUUGAUUAUAUGACGGAAUUUGUCAUUCAAGAAGCUUUAGAAGAACAUGACAAAAAUGGUGAUGGAUUUGUUAGUUUGGAAGAAUUUCUUGGUGAUUACAGGUGGGAUCCAACUGCAAAUGAAGAUCCAGAAUGGAUACUUGUUGAGAAAGACAGAUUCGUGAAUGAUUAUGACAAAGAUAAUGAUGGCAGGCUUGAUCCCCAAGAGCUGUUACCUUGGGUAGUACCUAAUAAUCAGGGCAUUGCACAAGAGGAGGUAAGUGUUACAGAACAACUGUUUCUCUCCACCCCCUCCCCCCGAAUUUGGUGCUGUUGAUAG
rnacentral:sRNA from 1 species